rnacentral:rRNA from 1 species
AUGGCGGAUGCACCUCUGUACAAGCAGCGCCGCACGUACACCAGGGAGCUCGGCAACCACAAGCUCCACGUCGUUUGCACAAGCAAGGGUGAAGACGUGGAUAAGAUGUUGUCCACGUUCAGGAGGAAGCUCGGUGGAAUGCCUGUCAAACUAGUCGGCGUUGAUGUCGAGUACACACACUACGUGAAGCCACAGCGGGCCAAUGGAACUAGACAAAUUCCUAAUGAAUGGUGA